UCCUUCUCCUUAUUUUUGGAAAGCAGGAAGUUGAAAAAAAAAGGGGGGGGGGUGCACAGUACACAGGGUGAAGGAUUUGGAUAAAGAAGGUUGAGGGGAUGAAAGAAGCCCAUCCGUUGCCUCCACCACGUGUCCCACUGAAGCAGAUGGCGCCGUGUGGCUCCGCCAUGCCUCUGCGCUCGCCCUGUGAGCGCCGCUGCCAUAAGGAGGCAGGUUAGUGGGAGAUUUGGGGUGACAGUGUUUGGCAGGGGCUACAAAGUGAAGAUGUAGGGAGGCAGAAAGCGCUUGGUGCCUUGGGCCGACACCAAGGCUUUGGGAGGCGACUCCCUGCUGGUAAUGCAGUGAGAGAAGAGCAGAGGAGCAACCAGACGAGCAAAGACAGCCGCCACCUCACACCGGGUGAUGACUGCACUAACUCCAUCAUGGACUCUAAUAACACGGCAUCAGGGGCUCUUGGUGCUGAGCUUGCAGACCAAUGGUAUUGCAAAUGCUUUUUUGUGUCCAGAAUCGUUUAUUUCUUAUCGAAAGGACUACAGUGUCAGAUUUCCUUGCCCUUUGCAAAGGUCUGUUCAGUUUGAACAUUUUUUUYGCCUGAACUUCUUAAUAAUAGUGUUGCAAAUAGUCAGACAUCUGUUUCAAUGAUUUAAAUGUAUUAUUUUAAACUAUAAUGUUUUAUUUGACUGCAAUGCAGCAAAACCUCAUGUGACCUUGACCUUCAGAAAUACGUAAAUGUGCAAAAACAGCRUUCAAUGUAAACAAAAAAAUAAUAAAAAAUUAUUACUGACAUUUGGCUUUCAGAAAACAAAAGAGCUUUUCAAUAAGGUCAAAUGCAAGCUAUCAAAGCAGAAAAAAAAUGUUUGCAUCGUAAAUACGCUCUAAAAUCUUCACAGGUCAGCCAUAGUUAAACCGCUUGCUAAUAUUUUGUCAAGAUCCACUUUUUGUGACCAAUACAGCUCCUGAAAGAGCCUUUGUGGUGGGUCAGUAGUCUCCUCAAAGGAAUGUUUUGGAUUCUGUGGGUUCUAGGGCGGAGCUUCUGUAAAAUAAGGCUUGUUCCUGCAUAUUCCACAGAUGCUUGAUAAAGCUAUCUGAGAUGAAUGGUGGUUGGAUCAACAUUUUUGGGCUUGUUUUUGGGUGAAAAACAGUUUUUGAGUUGUUUUUACAUCUUUUGUAGCACUGUCUUUGUGAGGAAGCUGCUCCUUUAAAAGGGGACAUAUACAAAAUCCACUUUGGAUUUGGAAAAUUCCACAUUGGACUUAUACCAACUAUACAGUUUGGUCAUUUUCAUUCUCCUCUGGCUCUGGGUAAGACUCUGGCUCCAUCAUAAAAGGCUGGCAUGACAAGCCUUCCCUUAUUGGCAUAUUUUUAUUAACUUGUAAAUAAAACGUUUCUGUGCCACUAGAUAGCCGUAACCCCCUCUCUCAAACUAGAACCGUUAUGGAAGCUGGCGGGGGACAGCGUGUAAGGCGUUUUAUUUGGCUUUAAGGAGACAGCGUCAAAACAAGCUGCUUUGAGACAAGCCUCAGAAAAAAGGGGUGAAAGUGCGACUUGUAAAGUAACCACAAGGAGGAAAUUAGACCAAAGAAUUGCAGUUCCACUUUAUAUCGAACCCAAGUGAUUUAUUAAAUGUGAAAAAGAAAGAUUUAAAAGCAUGAUGUGUCAACUUUUACAAAUCUUUAUUACGACAGGUUUGGCAAUUGGAUCAGUGUUUAGGUGGGGAAGUCCAAACAACAUGAAUGUGAAUGUCAGGACCCCGAGCUUAGAAAAAUUUCAAAGGUUUUAAAGGGUCACUACCAUCAACCAUUUGUUCAAUAACAGCCAAGUCCUGUUGGCUGUUAUUGAACCAACGGUCUCCAUUUAAAUUAGAACAGAGGAUAGUCUACAGUUGGAAACAGCUAGACAGUUUGGCAGCAGACUUUUAUAACUCUUCUGAAACAUUAAAUAAAUUCCUUCCAUGCUGUGGUUGGCCUUGCCUGCACAAAAUGUAAGGAAUAUAUUUAUAGCUUUAGUCUUACAAUCAAGUUUUAUGUAUGUUCCAUCUUUCCAAAUGUUUAAUUAAAAUCAGUUCCCAUGUAAAGAUUUUUACUUUACAGUUUCUACACAUGAGAACUCUCAGUAAAGCAGCAUGGUGAGCUACAGCAUGAUGCCCCCUGGGGGUUUUAACUGUUUGAAAUAUACAAAAGUACAUUAUGUGGAAACUUAGAGCCUACAAGACCAUUUAACUACCUUCGUAAAGUACAAAGUUGAUUUUAUGCAGCUGCUUUUGAAGGGCUAAAAGAGACAGAAGAACAAAACCUGUUUGACAAAAUUGUGAAAAAUGAWUGUGGCUCAUCCAACACCGUGUGCAGAAGUUGAAAGUCAACAAGGACCAGAAGAAAGAGGUCAAGGAAUCCGUUUGAAAGCGAGCCCGUGUUGUUUCUCACAGGCAGGAAGGAGCGGCCGUCCAGCCACGAGGUGAAGAAGCUCUUGUCUUUCCUCAGAGAUGCUGCCUGUUGUUGUUAACAGUUUUUUUCCUUCUUUUUUUUUUUUUUUUGCAGGAAGGGGAGCGUAGUAGUGACUCACACAGACAGUAGUAAUUAAAGCCAGCUUUUCAAUCUGAAAGAGCAGAAAGAUUUAAUACGGAUGUGUACUUUCUAUCAACCCCCAUUCCCCUAUUCCUCCUUGAGCACACGCAGCCACAGAAAGCAUGGACAUCUUCUGCAACACGCACUGUUUGUAGCCUUAUAUACUGAUACAUGUGCACAAGAUGAAAGCAUCAGAAAAUCUCCAUAAUGAAUUGAACAACUAGGACACUGCUCAUUAGAGAUGCAUUUGUGUACGUGAGGAACAGGCGAUUUAUUAUUUUCAGUCACACAGAUUCUGGUGCAAGUCGUUGGAAUCAGAGAGAUAUUUUAAUAUGUCUUCAGCCCAGAAAAUCUGUUUAGCAGUUAGUCAGGAUGGGAGCACACCCGAAUGAAUUCACAUUUGCUUUAAAUGGCUCCUCCUGUCUUAAUACUGUUUUUUUUCCAGUGCUGUGGCAUGCAAAGAUAAAAACACAUUUCGAAUGUGUUAGUUCAAGGCUGAGAGUUACUUUGCAGUGCAUUAGAACAGUAAAGACAAAGGCAAAAAUGAUGAAUCAGAUUAAACGUUUGGUUUGUUUGGAUUCCAUUCUAAUUUAUGUCAAGAAUUAUAUUUGUUCAUGUCAGCUGCAAACAAAUAAAAAGGGGCUAGCAGAGAGUCUAAACAAAUAUGCGAGCAAAUCGAGCAGUUCAACCACACUCCACAAAUCUCUUUUAACUCAGUUUUCCCUUUCUUUGCUACCACCUUCCAGCUGCUCAACUCCGAACCGUUGCAUUUCGAAAAUUACACUGUAGCCUGGCUGCCUAUGGAUUCAAUUAAUCAACACUUCCUGGAGUUUAGGGCACAGUUAACCAGCUCCUUUGUGCUCACAAGCACUUGUUGCUUUUGUCAUCAGUACGCCUCACUUCCUCUUCACAAGGAGAGGAGCGACCAAGACAACAGAGAGCUCCCAGGCCUUGUCAAACACACARAGUCAUGUUAAGUGUUGUUUCUUUUCUCCCCUCUGAACAGUAUUAAAGUCUUUUUAACAAAC